UACAUGUGCAGGUAGCAAUACGCUGUUUACUCAUGUAACCGAAUUGACGUUUAAGCGAACUGUAAGCUCGCCGGCCAUGAGGUGCACAAUAUCGCCCCUAGAAGUAAUCACCUGAUCAGUGAUGAAACUAGGGGCAUUUUUUAU
rnacentral:sRNA from 12 species